rnacentral:rRNA from 1 species
UACGUAGGGUGCGAGCGUUGUCCGGAAUUACUGGGCGUAAAGAGCUCGUAGGCGGUUUGUCGCGUUGUCCGUGAAAACUCACAACUCAAUUGUGGGCGUGCGGGCGAUACGGGCAGACUGGAGUACUGCAGGGGAGACUGGAAUUCCUGGUGUAGCGGUGGAAUGCGCAGAUAUCAGGAGGAACACCGGUGGUGAAGGCGGGUCUCUGGGCAGUAACUGACGCUGAGGAGCGAAAGCGUGGGGAGCGAACAGG